UUAUUGUAAAUUUAAAUUUGGAGUCUCUAGUAUUAAUAGUUAUGAUCUUUAAAUUAAAAGAAUUUGACGGUGAUUUAAUCUUUUCAGAGGAACCUGUCCUUUAAUCGAUAAUCCACGAUAAAUAUUACUUUAACUAUGUUUGUAUAUCUCUGUUUAUUGAGUGUUUUAUUAGAAUUUAUUCUCUUUAAUUUUUAAUAAAUUUUAUAUCAGGUCAAGGUGCAACAAUGUUGAAGGUUGAGAUGGGUUACAUUUAUUUAAAAUAUUGGAUUAACAUAUUAUUAUUAAUUGUAUUAUUUUUAUGAAAUUGGAUUUGAAUGUAAUAAUUAUUAUAUUUUAAUUAUGAUAUUUGUUCUAGAUUGAGUACACAUCGCCCGUCACUCUCAUUUUUAAGGUGAGAUAAGUCGUAACAAAGUAGGCCUAUCGGAAGUUGGGCCUGGAAUUAUACAAAUUAAGCUAUAGUAGCGGUUGUUAUUUACAUUAAUAAUUUUAUUUGUGCGAUUCAAAUUAGUUUGAUUAAUUAUAUAUUUAAUUUAUUUAUUAUUUAAUAUAUGUUUGUUAGAAAUAACUAGAAAUUUACUGCCUUAGUAUAUUUUAUAGAAAAGGUUUAAUAUUUAUUUAUAGUUUAUUUUACUGUGAAGGGUGAAUUAUAUUUUAUUUUAAAAGUAUUUUUAAUUUAUUGUACCUUUUGCAUCAGGGUUUAUCAAUUUAUUUUUAUUAUAUAUAAAUUAUCCCGAAAUUAAAAGAGAUAAUUGAAUUUGUUAAUUAUUGUUUCAUAAAUAUUGAUAAAUUUUAGUUGGGAAAGAUAUUUUAUUCAAUUUUAAAUAUCUGGUUUUUCAAUAAAUGAAUUUAAUUCAGGAUUAUUGAUAUUAUAUACUAAAAUAUAUUAGUUUUUAUUAUUUAUAAUCUAAUUUAAUAGGGGAUAAGCUCUGUUAAAUAUUUAUAAUUUAUUUUAUUAUUAGUGAAUUUUAUAGGUUUAGUAACAUCCAUUAUUUAUUUCGUUAUAGUUAUUUUUACUUUAUUAUUUAUUUAUUUAAAUUUAAAUUAUUAUUAAAAUUUUUAAUUAAAUUUUGUUUUUAAGGUAAUAAUGAUAAAAUUAGUAAUUUUAAUAAUUAAUAUAUAGGAACUCGGCAAUAUUAACGUUUGCCUGUUUAUCAAAAACAUGUCUUGAUGUGAUUAUAUUUCAAGUCGGACCUGCUCAAUGAUUUUCUUUAUAAGAGAUUAAAUAGCCGCAGUAUUUUGACUGUGCGAAGGUAGCAUAAUCAUUUGUCUUUUAAUUGUAGGCUUGUAUGAAUGGUUUGACAAAGCGUUAUCUUUCUUUAUAUUAAUAUUAUGAAUUUAAUUUUUUAGUUAAAAAGCUAAAAUUAAUUUAAAGGACGAGAAGACCCUAUAGAAUUUUAUUUGAUAUUUAUUAUUUUAAGUAAUGGCUAUUUGUUUUAAUUUUUUUUAUAUCAAAUUUUGUUGGGGCGACAGGGAAAUUUAAUUAACUUUCUUUUUUUAUUUAUUAUUGAUUAAUAUAUUAUUGAUCCUGUUUUAGGAUAUUAAGAUUAAAUUACCUUAGGGAUAACAGCGUAAUUUCUUUUGAGAGUUCAAAUCGAUAAAGGAGU
rnacentral:rRNA from 1 species